rnacentral:rRNA from 1 species
GAUGAACGCUGGCGGCGUGCCUAAUACAUGCAAGUCGAGCGAACAGACGAGGUGCUUGCUCCUUUGACGUUAGCGGCGGACGGGUGAGUAACACGUAGGUAACCUACCUAUAAGACUGGGAUAACUUCGGGAAACCGGAGCUAAUACCGGAUAAUAUUUCGAACCGCAUGGUUCGAUAGUGAAAGAUGGCUUUGCUAUCACUUAUAGAUGGACCUGCUCCGUAUUAGCUAGUUGGUAAGGUAACGGCUUACCAAGGCAACGAUACGUAACCGACCUGAGAGGGUGAUCAGCCACACUGGAACUGAGACACGGUCCAGACUCCUACGGGAGGCAGCAGUAGGGAAUCUUCCGCAAUGGGCGAAAGCCUGACGGAGCAACGCCGCGUGAGUGAUGAAGGUCUUCGGAUCGUAAAACUCUGUUAUUAGGGAAGAACAAACGUGUAAGUAACUGUGCACGUCUUGACGGUACCUAAUCAGAAAGCCACGGCUAACUACGUG